CUGCAGCCCGAGUGGUGAUCGAUUUUAUUGAGCCUAAAGCGUCCGUAGCCGGACUAGUAAACCCUUGGGUAAAUUGGGCAGCUUAACUGUCCAAAUUCCGAGGGGACUGCUAGUCUUGGGACCGGGAGAGGUCAGAGGUACUCCAGGGGUAGGGGCUAAAUCCUGUAAUCCUUGGGGGACCACCAGUGGCGAAGGCGUCUGACUAGAACGGAUCCGACGGUAAGGGACGAAACCCUGGGGCGCAAACCGGAUUAGAGACCCGAGUAGUCC
rnacentral:rRNA from 1 species